UGAAUCCAGUGUGAUCAUUUUUGAAGAAGUAAAGAAUGUGUCGAAGUCCACCUCCCUCAUAGGACUGGUGACUCCGUCCUGGCCCUUGGGGGCACUGACCAGCCAGCGAUUUCCAGGAAGAAUAAAAGAGGAACAUGGGAAACUUGUAAGAUAAGAUGCUCCAGAAUUGUUAUUUUAUGGGGAGAUGCAAUACAGGAAAGAUGCUUUAUCACCGCUAAUCGGAUUUUACUAGUUUGUGCCAACUUUGAAGAGUAUGUAUAUACAACCAAGAGUGCAUUAUCUCGAUACACUUAGAGGAACUGAUGAGUCAGUAAAUCUUGUGCAUUCCUGAAAUGAUUCCCUCAACUUCAAUGCCAGACUGAAAAAUAAACCACCAGGGCAUGUUACUUAGGGCGAAUUCACACUGCAGUUGAGCUCUUUUGGCCAGUCCGUCAGAAAGACGGGGGUUGAGCAGAGGAAUAAAUA